UCUUCCGCCGCCUCUCCCACACCGCCACUCCGCGAGUUUAGCCUUCACCAGCCCUUGGAACCAGAAGUUGCAAGAAGGACAGUGCCGCUCACCCCCUCCUCCUCACAAGCAAACGGCCCGGCGAGGACACGCGCACGGCGCGGCCGGCAGGAAGCGGCAGGCGGGCACCUACCCCACGUUGGGCAGCCCGACGAUCCCGAUCUUCAGGGACGUCCCGAACCUGCCGAUAAUCGGGUGCGCCUUCACCCCGUCGCCUGCCUUCUUCGGGGCCAUCUGGGGACGCAGAGCAGCGCUCGCAAUGACUCUACGAGAAUCAGCUCCACAGUUCCUAUGAAGGGGAACGCAGGAACUCAGAGCCCCUUCAACCUUCAGAUGCGGGACUGGAUGUGACCCUCUGCUCAGCUCCAGGAAGAAGUGGAUGGUUUCUAAAGUCAGCAUUCCUACAGGACGGACACCAUCAAGUGUUUGCCUGCUAAGAAAAUUGAAGGAGAGAAGACAGUAAAAACUGUUCUUACAGUACGUCCUAUUUUAAGUCCGCAAGAUUAAAUUCUCAGAACUUGAAAAACACCAGAGUGAAGGAGUCAAGGUGAGAGUAUCAUCAGAUUAUAUAUCAUCUAGGUCACAAUAAGAAGAAUAUAAUCUUGAACAUUGGGGGAAAAAAAGAUUCUUCGAAAUUAAUCUUUAGCGUUCGCCGUGAUUUGUUUCUGUUUUGCACUACGUCCCUGAGUCCAGCUCUCCUCCAGUUAAUUUUGUUUUCUUUAUUUUUAUCCACUUGCUAUGACUGUUCUACUACUUGUGCCACCGCGGCGUGUCAGUCCUUUAUGGGAUCCCCGUUUCGUCUCUGCCUUUCACUGUGAUUUUCCAUCAUUAUGGGCCUCUUGAAUAAAAAUGUAGCCCUUGUUUCUGA